UCGCCCGAGGAGCGUUGCGACAGUCGAUCGACGACUGCCAGGCUCGGGCACGGUGGCGCAAGCCGCUGGUUCAACGGCGCUCACCCGAC
rnacentral:ncRNA from 2 species